AUGAACGCUAGCUACAGGCUUAACACAUGCAAGUCGAGGGGCAGCAUGGUCUUAGCUUGCUAAGGCCGAUGGCGACCGGCGCACGGGUGAGUAACACGUAUCCAACCUGCCGUCUACUCUUGGACAGCCUUCUGAAAGGAAGAUUAAUACAAGAUGGCAUCAUGAGUCCGCAUGUUCACAUGAUUAAAGGUAUUCCGGUAGACGAUGGGGAUGCGUUCCAUUAGAUAGUAGGCGGGGUAACGGCCCACCUAGUCUUCGAUGGAUAGGGGUUCUGAGAGGAAGGUCCCCCACAUUGGAACUGAGACACGGUCCAAACUCCUACGGGAGGCAGCAGUGAGGAAUAUUGGUCAAUGGGCGAGAGCCUGAACCAGCCAAGUAGCGUGAAGGAUGACUGCCCUAUGGGUUGUAAACUUCUUUUAUAAAGGAAUAAAGUCGGGUAUGGAUACCCGUUUGCAUGUACUUUAUGAAUAAGGAUCGGCUAACUCCGUGCCAGCAGCCGCGGUAAUACGGAGGAUCCGAGCGUUAUCCGGAUUUAUUGGGUUUAAAGGGAGCGUAGAUGGAUGUUUAAGUCAGUUGUGAAAGUUUGCGGCUCAACCGUAAAAUUGCAGUUGAUACUGGAUAUCUUGAGUGCAGUUGAGGCAGGCGGAAUUCGUGGUGUAGCGGUGAAAUGCUUAGAUAUCACGAAGAACUCCGAUUGCGAAGGCAGCCUGCUAAGCUGCAACUGACAUUGAGGCUCGAAAGUGUGGGUAUCAAACAGGAUUAGAUACCCUGGUAGUCCACGCCGUAAACGAUGAGUGCUAGGUGUUGGAUCCUUUCCGGGAUUCAGUGCCGCAGCUAACGCAUUAAGCACUCCGCCUGGGGAGUACGACCGCAAGGUUGAAACUCAAAGGAAUUGACGGGGGCCCGCACAAGCGGAGGAACAUGUGGUUUAAUUCGAUGAUACGCGAGGAACCUUACCCGGGCUUAAAUUGCAGAUGAAUUACGGUGAAAGCCGUAAGCCGCAAGGCAUCUGUGAAGGUGCUGCAUGGUUGUCGUCAGCUCGUGCCGUGAGGUGUCGGCUUAAGUGCCAUAACGAGCGCAACCCUUGUUGUCAGUUACUAACAGGUUCCGCUGAGGACUCUGACAAGACUGCCAUCGUAAGAUGUGAGGAAGGUGGGGAUGACGUCAAAUCAGCACGGCCCUUACGUCCGGGGCUACACACGUGUUACAAUGGGGGGUACAGAGGGCCGCUACCACGCGAGUGGAUGCCAAUCCCCAAAACCUCUCUCAGUUCGGACUGGAGUCUGCAACCCGACUCCACGAAGCUGGAUUCGCUAGUAAUCGCGCAUCAGCCACGGCGCGGUGAAUACGUUCCCGGGCCUUGUACACACCGCCCGUCAAGCCAUGGGAGCCGGGGGUACCUGAAGUGCGUAACCGCGAGGAGCGCCCUAGGGUAAAACUGGUGACUGGGGCU
rnacentral:rRNA from 1 species